rnacentral:rRNA from 1 species
CCCUUAGAUGUUCUGGGCCGCACGCGCGCUACACUGACGAAUGCAACGAGCUUAUAACCUUGGCCGAAAGGUCUGGGUAAUCUCCAAAUUUCGUCGUGAUGGGGAUAGAUUAUUGCAAUUAUUAAUCUUCAACGAGGAAUGCCUAGUAAGCGCAAGUCAUCAGCUUGCGUGGAUUACGUCCCUGCCCUUUGUACACACCGCCCGUCGCUCCUACCGAUUGAAUGGUCCGGUGAAGCGUUCGGACCGUGGCCUUUGGACGGUUCGCCGUCUGUUGGCUGCGGGAAGUUCGUUAAACCUUAUCAUUUAGAGGAAGGAGAANUCGUANCA